AUGCUUUUCCAGAAGGACCACAGGGAAGGUGGGGGAUGGGGAGGUGGAAUGAACUACAGAGACACUGGUAAUAGGAAAGCAAAGAAGGGGCUAAGGCAUCUCCUGGAGGUCACUAGAGGUGACAUCUGUCUACCACCAUAUCACUGGGUUAGAAGGGUCAAGGCAAAACAUGGCUCUCCUGGCUCGCUUGAUCUACUUAAGUCACCUGAGGUUUGCCCCAUUCUCAGGAGUAGUUCACGAUACCUGUUCAACUUCUCAUCUCUGGCCAAGAGUGUCCUUCAAACCAGCCCUUCUCACCGCUGGGGCUCCCCCUGCUUUCCUCUGGCUAGAACCUGGCACAAAUGCUCUUCAUUCAGUCCUCUGCGGCCACGGGUCUCGGUUAAUGGCCCCUUCCACACUGAAAACUCUCCAUACAUUUCUUUUAAAACCUUUUAUUCAAUAAUAUAUACUUUUAAAAUUAUAAUAUGUAACUGCCCGUCAUGCCGUAGAUUGCCCCCGUACCCCCACUGUGGAGUCUGUGGUCGGCUAGUUAACGUGGUCUGCUGGUGGCCACAGGCCGAGGCCCAGGGGGGCAAGUCAGCUCCCCCCAGAGGCCAUCCCAUCCUGCAGGUGACUGUAAAGCAAAUUCGAGGCUUCUAUCAUGGUUGUGCCAAACGUCCUUCUGGUUCCAGGUGAGAGGACACGACCGUCAGUUUCUGAAUGCUUUGGGAUUUUAGGAAUAAAAUUAUUCAAG
rnacentral:lncRNA from 1 species